rnacentral:rRNA from 1 species
CAGCCGCCGCGGUAAUGCGUAGGGUGCGAGCGUUAAUCGGAAUUACUGGGCGUAAAGCGUGCGCAGGCGGUUGUGUAAGACAGGCGUGAAAUCCCCGGGCUCAACCUGGGAAUGGCGCUUGUGACUGCAAAGCUAGAGUGCGGCAGAGGGGGAUGGAAUUCCGCGUGUAGCAGUGAAAUGCGUAGAUAUGCGGAGGAACACCGAUGGCGAAGGCAAUCCCCUGGGCCUGCACUGACGCUCAUGCACGAAAGCGUGGGGAGCAAACAGGAUUAGAUACCCCCGUAGUCCCUGUCUCUUAUAC